rnacentral:lncRNA from 1 species
ACGUCAGUUUGGUUUAAUUUUAUGUGCAAAUUGGUUCAGACGAGCAGUUAUAAAAGUCUGAAACUAAAAAAAACCGAAAUAACUAAAUUAAACCGAUUUUAAAUAAUUUAAAACAACGAUAAUAUUAAAUUAUAGUUAAAUAAUUAGAGAAUUUAACCACUUAGAUAAAUUUAAUCAUAUUUAAAUAUUUUUAAUAGUUUAAUAUAUUAAAUAUAUACAGGCUGAACAAACCAAACCAAACCAAACCAAACCGAACCGAACCGAACCGACUGAAUUAAUUUUUUCUUUUUAAGAAAAAAAAC